AGAGUUUGAUCCUGGCUCAGGAUGAACGCCGGCGGUGUGCCUAAUACAUGCAAGUCGUACGCACUGGCCCAACUGAUUGAUGGUGCUUGCACCUGAUUGACGUUGGAUCACCAGUGAGUGGCGGACGGGUGAGUAACACGUAGGUAACCUGCCCCGGAGCGGGGGAUAACAUUUGGAAACAGAUGCUAAUACCGCAUAACAACAAAAGCCACAUGGCUUUUGUUUGAAAGAUGGCUUUGGCUAUCACUCUGGGAUGGACCUGCGGUGCAUUAGCUAGUUGGUAAGGUAACGGCUUACCAAGGCGAUGAUGCAUAGCCGAGUUGAGAGACUGAUCGGCCACAAUGGAACUGAGACACGGUCCAUACUCCUACGGGAGGCAGCAGUAGGGAAUCUUCCACAAUGGGCGCAAGCCUGAUGGAGCAACACCGCGUGAGUGAAGAAGGGUUUCGGCUCGUAAAGCUCUGUUGUUGGAGAAGAACGUGCGUGAGAGUAACUGUUUACGCAGUGACGGUAUCCAACCAGAAAGUCACGGCUAACUACGUGCCAGCAGCCGCGGUAAUACGUAGGUGGCAAGCGUUAUCCGGAUUUAUUGGGCGUAAAGCGAGCGCAGGCGGUUGCUUAGGUCUGAUGUGAAAGCCUUCGGCUUAACCGAAGAAUUGCAUCAGAAACUGUUGAACUUGAGGGCAGAAGAGGAGAGUGGAACUCCAUGUGUAGCGGUGGAAUGCGUAGAUAUAUGGGAGAACCCCAGUGGCGAAGGCGGCUCUCUGGUCUGCAACUGACGCUGAGGCUCGAAAGCAUGGGGAGCGAACAAGAUUAGAUACCCUGGUAGUCCAUGCCGUAAACGA
rnacentral:rRNA from 1 species